AGAUUGAGCGCUGGCGGCAGGCCUAACACAUGCAAGUCGAGCGGCAGCACGGGUACUUGUACCUGGUGGCGAGCGGCGGACGGGUGAGUAAUGCCUAGGAAUCUGCCUGAUAGUGGGGGAUAACGUUCGGAAACGGACGCUAAUACCGCAUACGUCCUACGGGAGAAAGUGGGGGAUCUUCGGACCUCACGCUAUCAGAUGAGCCUAGGUCGGAUUAGCUAGUUGGUAGGGUAAAGGCCUACCAAGGCUACGAUCCGUAACUGGUCUGAGAGGAUGAUCAGUCACACUGGAACUGAGACACGGUCCAGACUCCUACGGGAGGCAGCAGUGGGGAAUAUUGGACAAUGGGCGAAAGCCUAGACCCAGCCAUGCCGCGUGUGUGAAGAAGGUCUCGGAUUGAAAGCACUUUAAGUGGAGAAGGCAUUAACCUAAUACGUUAGUGUUUGCGUUACGACAGAAUAAGCACCGCUAACGUCUGUGCCAGCAGCCG
rnacentral:rRNA from 1 species